rnacentral:rRNA from 1 species
GGACCCGACUGCUAUCAAAGUGGGACUAACCCAUGCGAGUCAACAUAGCAAUAUGUGGCAUACGGCUCAUUAACACGUAGUCAACAUGCCCAGGGGACGUGGAUAACCUCGGGAAACUGAGGAUAAACCGCGAUAGGUCAUCACUUCUGGAAUGGGUAAUGACUUAAAUCUAUAUGGCCCCUGGAUUGGACUGCGGCCAAUCAGGCUGUUGGUGAGGUAAUGGCCCACCAAACCUGUAACCGGUACGGGCUCUGAGAGGAGGAGCCCGGAAAUGGGCACUGAGACAAGGGCCUAGGCCCUAUGGGGCGCACCAGGCGCGAAACCUCUGCAAUAGGCGAAAGCUUGACAGGGUUACUCUGAGUGAUUUCCGUUAAGGAGAUCUUUUGGCACCUCUAAAAAUGGUGCAAAAUAAGGGGUGGGCAAGUCUGGUGU